GGUCCCGUGGUCCAGCGGCGACGACGCCUCCCUGACGCGGAGGAGAGCGGUGGUUCGAGUCCACCCGGGAUCAC
rnacentral:tRNA from 1 species